rnacentral:rRNA from 1 species
UACGAGGGGGGCGAGCGUUGUUCGGAAUUAUUGGGCGUAAAGGGUGCGUAGGCGGUUUGGUAAGUCUUAUGUGAAAUCUAUGGGCUCAACUCAUAGUCUGCAUGAGAAACUGCCGGGCUUGAGUGUGGGAGAGGUGAGUGGAAUUUCCGGUGUAGCGGUGAAAUGCGUAGAGACCCGGAGGAACACCAGUGGCGAAGGCGGCUUCCUGGUCUGCAACUGACGCUGUGGCGCGAAAGCUAGGGGAGCAAACGGG